CAAACUUACCCUCUCUCUCGCACGCUCACCCUCUCCUUGUAGUCUCAACCGUUCCCACCACCCUCACGCCACAUUCCCGCCGUCGACCGCCUCCUUCACGUCAGCACCCAAGCUGGUACCGUCGCACGCCGCGGCAGUCAGUCGGAGGUACGCAAGUCGGUCUCUUUCUCUCUCUCUCUCUCCAUUGCAGCUACUGCCGUCUUCAGUCGCCGGGCACCACCUUCGGUUGUCUAAGAUCCACGUAAAGCAGAAGCAGCAGCUCAAAAAUGCUGAAUUUUUCUCAGUUGGGCAUCCGUCUACGUUACCCACGAUUCGUUGGACCUUGAAUUGUCUCACCCAUUCGGUUCCGGCUUCCAAUCUCAGUUUUUCAACAGUUUGGAACGCUAUACAGCAAGGUGGUUUAAUUUUAAGGAGAGGCGACCGACCUUGAAUCAGAAAUUUCUUGCAUAUAUUGUAUAAGGUUUAUCAAACGGCUUCUAUUUGGGUCUCAAAAGUUGAAACGGAUCUGAGAUUGUGAUUUAGGAUUGGACUGCGACAUUUGUAAGUCGAAGGGCAAUUCAUUUUGUUGCUGAAAAUUUGUUGAGGCACUUUUAUCAACGAUCAGAUUUGUUCUUCAGGUUGUACAACUGUCUCCUUGAGUUUUAAGGCACUUUUAUUGAGAAAUAGACAUGAGAAAUCAUUCAUCAAAUUCAUCAUUGCUUCUCAGCUCCCUUUUUAAAAAAAAAUCUUUUAGUUCGCUAUCAGAAAUUCCAGGAAAGACUAUCAUACAGUUGUCAUCUUCUGAGGAUAUCAAGCACAACAUUGAUGCUUCUGUGGAAACCUCUUCUAAAGUGGCAUGUCAGACCAACUUAGUUUCUUUAGAGUCCAUUAAUGGAAAUUGUGAUACCUCUCUCAAUUCAGCUCUAACUGAAAGUCAUGUGAUAAACACUCUUUUAAACAGCAAAAGUGAUCCAACGUCAGCAUUGAAGUACUUCAAAAGGAUUAAGAAGAAGAUAGAAUUUGCCAAACGCACUGAUGCUGUAUGUAUCUUGCUUCUCAUUUUGACAAAUUCGGCAGAGACACAUAGAGCUCAGUAUUUGUUUGAUCAAUUUGCUUCAGGAAAAUCAGUCCACCCUAGUUGUCUUAUGGACCGUUUAGUGGAAUGCACAAAACUGUACAGUUUUCCAUUGGAUAUUCAGGUUUUUAAUUAUUUGUUGAAAAGUUACGUUAGAGCAAACAAAAUUGAAGAAGCUCUUCAUUGUUUUAAUAAAAUUGUAGAAUUUGAUAUGACGCCAUCAAUUCAGUGUGUGAAUAUUCUUUUGACUGCCAUGGUUAGGAAAAACAUGACUUGUGAAGCACGGGAGUUGUACAACAAAAUGUUGCUGAUAGGAGUUCCAGGCGACUGUUUUACAUUACAUGUUAUGUUGCGUGCUUGUUUGAAGGAAGGGAAUAUUUUGGAGGCAGAGCAACAUUUUUUACAAGCGAAAGCAAGAGGAGUGAAACUUGAUCAAGAAGCUUAUAGUACAUUUGUUCGUCUAGUUUGUUUGAAACCAAACUCUGGAUAUGCUUCAUCUUUGUUAAGAGAGAUGAGGGCAGCAGGUUGGGUUCCUUCCGAAGGUACAUUUACAAGUGUUAUUACUGCUUGUGUAAAGGAAGGGAAUAUGGCAGAGGCUUUGAGGCUGAAAGAUGAUAUGGUUAAUUGUGGAAAGUUUAUGAAUUUGGCUGUUGCAACAAGUUUAAUGAAGGGUUAUUGCAUGCAAGGAGACCUCAGAAGUGCUUUAGUUCUCGUGAAUGAAAUAGGCAAGAGUGGUUUGGUGCCCAACAAAGUUACAUACUCUGUUCUGAUUGAUGGUUGUUGUAAGAAUGGGAAUAUUGAAAAGGCAUUUGAGUUUUUCUCUGAAAUGAAAACUAAGGGCAUUCAGCCAAGUGUUUAUUCUUUGAAUUCUAUAGUAGAAGGGUAUUUGAAAUGUCACUCUUGGCAAAAUGCAUUCACGAUGUUUAAUGAUGCACUUGAGAGUGGUCUUGCAAAUGUUUUCACGUUUAAUACUUUAUUGUCCUGGCUUUGUAAGGAGGGUAAGAUGAAUGAAGCUUGCAAUUUAUGGGAUGAGGUGAUUGCUAAGGGUAUCAGUCCUAAUGUAGUUUCGUACAAUAACAUUAUACUUGGUCACUGUAGAAAAGAUAAUAUUAAUGCAGCAUGUAAGGUGUACAAGGAGAUGCUAGAUAAUGGGUUUACCCCAAAUGCAGUUACCUUUACUAUUCUAAUGGAUGGUUAUUUUAAGAAAGGGGAUAUCGAGAAUGCUUUUAGUAUAUUUCACAGGAUGAAAGAUGCUAACAUUCUACCCACAGACAUCACAUUAGGUAUUAUCAUCAAAGGUUUGUGCAAAACUGGUCGAACCUCUGAGGGAAGGGAUUUGUUCAAUAAGUUUGUUUCUCAAGGCUUUAUUCCUACUUGUAUGCCUUACAAUACUAUUAUUGAUGGUUUCAUCAAGGAAGGCAAUAUUAAUUUGGCGUCGAAUGUGUAUAGGGAAAUGUGUGAAGUAGGCAUUACUCCUAGCACUGUCACCUAUACAUCCUUGAUUGAUGGAUUUUGUAAAGGCAAUAAUAUAGAUCUUGCUUUAAAGUUGCUGAACGAUAUGAAAAGGAAGGGUCUUGAAAUGGACAUUAAAGCAUAUGGCACACUCAUAGACGGUUUUUGCAAAAGAAGGGAUAUGAAAAGUGCGAACGAACUUCUUAACGAACUUCGGGGAGCUGGUUUAUCUCCAAAUCGUUUCAUUUACAAUAGCAUGAUUGCUGGGUUUAAGAAUAUGAACAACAUAGAAGCAGCUAUUGACUUGUAUAAGAAUAUGGUGAAUGAGGGUAUUCCGUGUGAUUUGAAAACAUAUACCUCAAUGAUUGAUGGAUUGCUGAAAAAUGGAAGACUUCUCUAUGCAUCAGAUAUCCACACCGAAAUGCUUUCUAGGGGUAUAUUGCCUGAUGAUCGGGCACAAACGGUUCUAAUCAAUGGUCUUUGUAACAAAGGGCAAUUUGAGAACGCACGCAAGAUUUUGGAGGAUAUGAAUGGAAAAAACAUGAUUCCUAGUGUUCUCAUUUAUAAUACAUUAAUAGCUGGGCACUUUAAGGAAGGGAAUUUGCAAGAAGCUUUUAGGUUGCAUGAUGAGAUGCUUGAUAGAGGUCUUGUUCCUGAUAAUAUUACCUAUGAUAUUCUUGUCAAUGGAAAGUUCAAAGGAGAUGGUAAUUUUAGUAGAGAUUUGAGUUUCUAAGUAGCUAGACUCGCCCUUCUAUAAUGUUCCCAAAGGAAGCGUGGUCAUUAGGUGCAUUUUCUUAUUCACAUUUUGGAUAAGUCAAAAAGGUUUCAUGUCUUGGCUCACCCUCAGUUUCAAAGAGAUUUGAGUGAUUCAAAGUCAUUUGGAAAGCUUUGAAUGAAUUAUGAACAAAUUAGAGCUAAUCAAACUAAAUUGACCAACCAAGUUAUGAAAUAUCAAGUUCAAGCCAAUAGAUUUGAGAGGAAGCAUCUCAACGCCAUGAAUGGAGAAGAACAAAAAUGAAAAAGGAGAUGAGACGACAAUGACGAAGUAUGAAAGGAGAGAGAAGGAUGGAGAACGAAGUGGUCUUCAUCUCAAACUCUCUAGCAAUGAGAGGGUGUCUCAUAUACAGAGGGAGAUCUAAGCGUUCACUCACUGAGUUAGGUCGUCUAUAUAUCAUUGUAGAAAUCUCGUAUUUAUAGAUAAUUGCAAUAUUGUAGUUCAUUAGCUUUUCUGUCUUUCCUUGGGCAUUGCCUUCUUAGUGUAUGUGACGUUGCAUCGAAUUAAGUUAUCAAAUUUUGUGUAA